rnacentral:rRNA from 1 species
UACGUAGGGGGCAAGCGUUGUCCGGAUUUAUUGGGCGUAAAGGGCGUGUAGGCGGUCAGAUAGGUCCGUUGUGAAAACUCGAGGCUCAACCUCGAGACGCCGAUGGAAACCCUCCAGCUAGAGUCCGGAAGAGGAGAGUGGAAUUCCUGGUGUAGCGGUGAAAUGCGCAGAUAUCAGGAAGAACACCCGUGGCUAAGGCGGCUCUCUAGUACGGUACUGACGCUGAGACGCGAAAGCGUGGGGAGCGAACAGG